rnacentral:rRNA from 1 species
ACCUGCCCUUAGGUUGGGUAUAAACCCGGGAAACUGGGUAUAAUACCCGAUAGGUCUCGAUUGCUGGAAUGCAUCGAGAUUUAAAGCUCCGGCGCCUAAGGAUGGGUCUGCGGCCUAUCAGGUAGUAGUGGGUGUAGCGUACCUACUAGCCUACGACGGGUACGGGUUGUGAGAGCAAGAGCCCGGAGAUGGAUUCUGAGACACGAAUCCAGGCCCUACGGGGUGCAGCAGGCGCGAAAACUUUACAAUGCUGGCAACAGCGAUAAGGGAACCUCGAGUGCCAGGUUACAAAUCUGGCUGUCGAGAUGCCUAAAAAGCAUUUCAUAGCAAGGGCCGGGCAAGACCGGUGCCAGCCGCCGCGGUAACACCGGCGGCUCGAGUGGUAACCGUUAUUAUUGGGUCUAAAGGGUCUGUAGCCGGCCGGAUAAGUCUCUUGAGAAAUCUGGCAGCUUAACUGUCAGGCUUUCAGGAGAUACUGUCUGGCUCGAGGCCGGGAGAGGUGAGAGGUACUUCAGGGGUAGGGGUGAAAUCUUGUAAUCCUUGAAGGACCACCAGUGGCGAAGGCGUCUCACCAGAACGGACCUGACGGCAAGGGACGAAAGCUAGGGGCACGAACCGGAUUAGAUACCCGGGUAGUCCUAGCCGUAAACGAUACUCGCUAGGUGUCGGCCACGGUGCGACCGUUGUCGGUGCCGUAGGGAAGCCGUGAAGCGAGCCACCUGGGAAGUACGGCCGCAAGGCUGAAACUUAAAGGAAUUGGCGGGGGAGCACCACAACGGGUGGAGCUUGCGGUUUAAUUGGAUUCAACGCCGGAAAUCUUACCGGGACCGACAGCAAUAUGAAGGCCAGGCUGAAGACUUUGCCGGAUUAGCU